GACAGAGGGUGCAAACGUUGUUCGGAAUUACUGGGCGUAAAGCGUGUGUAGGCGGCUACGCAAGUCGGAUGUGAAAGCCCCGGGCUCAACCCGGGAAGUGCACCCGAAACUGCGUGGCUUGAGUACCGGAGAGGUUGGUGGAAUUCUCGGUGUAGAGGUGAAAUUCGUAGAUAUCGGGAAGAACACCCGUGGCGAAGGCGGCUCUCUGGGACGGUACUGACGCUGAGACGCGAAAGCGUGGGGAGCGAACAGG
rnacentral:rRNA from 1 species